ACAAGCAUGUGCGUCAGUGUUCCUUGUUCCAUUAAAAGUCAUAAUCGCAGACGAGCACUCUAUCAUAAUAAGAGCAUGACAAUCCGACAUGCCACUCUCUCCCAGGUUAAACAGCAGCAGAUGGAGAUUGUCUCUGGCUUCGUUUGUGAGCAGAAUUAAUUAGCAGUCACAGCAGCUGACACAUCAGUUUUACACUGACCUGCAAUUAAGAAUAACACUUCUUUUUGGAGUGUGUGCAUAGGACGGCCGUUUCAUUGGCAACAGCCCGUGCUGCUUGAUUUGUAAUUAAAGUUUCUUUGGUCUCUGAGGCAUUAUGGGACUAAAGUGUACACCUCGGGAACCCGUGAAGCUCCCAGACAAAUUUUCAUAACUGAUACAUUUAUUCCACAUAAUAGCUUUGUUCUGAAAUCGAGUGAGCUGCCGUCUACAUAGGCAGCUGCCUUCAAAGGCGACAUCCAAACUGAUUGAAUGGCAAAAUGGGGAAAACAAAAGGUCUUGAGAAGCAUUUGUUUUAAAUCUGAACUUAUGUUAACUUGAGUGGCACAUCAUGUGUGAGCCGCCGCAAAAGACAAACAUGUCCAUAUUGCAUGUUUUUACACAGAAAAACAAUAAAGUAGGAAUGGAGAAACACAAUCUGUGUGAAACGGCCCUAACUUAUUUCCAAUUUAUUACAACAGAAUUUUAUGCUAAUGUUUUGCACUAAUAAGCGCUCAAGUACAUGAAAUACUUAUUUAUAUAUUUAGAACUACGUUAUGGAAUCCACUUUCUGCCAAGGAAUAAGGAAAUUUUAAAAAUGCAAGGAAAAACUCACAAUUCUGAGAAGAAAAGUUUGAAUUGUGAGAUAGAUUCAUAAUUGUGAGGAAGAAAAAGUCAAAAUUAUGAGAAUUCAAUUCUAUUUUUUAUUCUGUCAUCUCAUAUCUCACAGUUUUGAGUAACAAAAGUUUGGCGAAAAAAAGUUGUAAUUAGAUUUUAUUUAUUUUUUAUUCUUUGUCGGAAAUGGGCUUCCAUACUAUUUGUAUCAAUACUUUUUUAUAAGAUAGAAUAUACGUAUAUUUAGGCUUUAAUCAGCAUUUCUAUACUCUAUAAUAAAUGUAUUUUUACACCAAGCUUGUUGUGACUCAUUCUAGGAAUGUUUUGUCUAUUCGUGCAAUUUCGCCUUCUAUUCAAAAGCUUGAAUUUUCAAGUGCAACAGAAUGGCACAUUCACAAAUAAAUUAUUUUUUAAUAAAAAUGCAUCUAUAAAUGAAGUUACAUGAAGAUAAAACCUGAUUGCAUAGCAUUUUUUUAUCCUCAAUUUGGGGAAAUUUUGUUGAAAAGCAUCUGCAAACUUAACAUUAGCAUUAUGAUCUUGUGCCCUUUUUUACAUCAUCUUCCAAGCAUCAGGCAACAGAAUCCCAAAAUGAGGCAUCUUAAAAGCAUCGCAAAAUGCUGUCUAGGUAGGCAGCUCACUAGGUUUUGGAGCACAGGCUAACAUGACAGCUUCAUAAAGGACUAAGCUUGACUGAAAUGCUUUUUUGUGCCUUUUGUCACCCAACCCCCAGAAUGCAUUGGGGCAAGGGAGUGAGGCGAUAAGUGCGAGGCAAAGAUGCAUUUGCUCCGCAGCACUGGCCACGGUGCAGAUGUUGCAGGUUAUUUCCGUGAAGUUUCAUCAUGAUGCUGGGACACUGAACUCUGAAUUGUUCAUGCCGUUGAUUUCAAACCGUUAUUUGGCUAUCCUUGGAUCCUCAAACAGCCCAGCAAGAGCUCAUGCCUCCCUCCUAAAGACUUUAAGGCUUCCAGCUGUCAUUACUUUCUCUAAAACCAAGCAAUGGACCAUUGUGAGCCAAGCCAGCACUAACCGGUAUUUUCGGACAGGGGAAGCUCUGAGUAGCCACCGAACGAGGGUUAAUCCCAUGAAAGUCACUGCCGAGUAAGAACAAGGUGGGCGGAGCUACUGAGGAGUUUAUUGAUCCAUUCGGGGGUUUCUGAGUGACUUAGAACAAGGGGUCUCACACUCUGGACUGCAAAAAUCAAGGAUGGAUAAAGACCAUGGAGAGGAUGCUGCCCUGGUGGGACAGGAAGUAGAGACGCAGAGGGGAGCAACUUCACCUGCUGAUCACCUUCAGUCUGACCAGUGGAACUAGCCUCUGAUUGGACAUGUCUGAUAGCCCAUCCAAUUGAUGGGAAUGGGAGAGAGAGAAAGGAAGAGGAACCUGAUGACAGUUCCCUGCAGAGAUGAAACUCUUCAGAAGCGCUCAGAGAGAAGAUGACACUUCAUACCACAUCAUUUGAUAGGAUUCAGAGAGGGUUAUGGAUCCUGUCACAAAGCCAAAUGAAGUCGAGGGGAAAACCGAGUCCCUGGGCUCUUCUCUGCUCCAACACCAGCCUAAAAAGGCCCCAUCUCACAUCUCCUCUUGAACUUCGACUCUGCAAUUAUACAAAAAUCUGGAAUCUACACUGCAGGAUAUUUUAAUAAUCUGAAGGACAUAUUUCCAUUAUAAAGAACCUU